rnacentral:rRNA from 1 species
ACGCACGCUGGCGGCGUGCUUAACACCUGCCAGUCGCACGAUGAUGCCAGCUUGCUGGUGGAUUAGUGGCGAACGGGUGAGUAACACGUGAGCAACCUGCCCCUGACUUCGGGAUAACCGCGGGAAACCGUGGCUAAUACCGGAUAUGACGCGCUAUCGCAUGGUGGUGUGUGGAAAGAUUUAUCGGUUGGGGAUGGGCUCGCGGCCUAUCAGCUUGUUGGUGGGGUGAUGGCCUACCAAGGCGACGACGGGUAGCCGGCCUGAGAGGGUGACCGGCCACACUGGGACUGAGACACGGCCCAGACUCCUACGGGAGGCAGCAGUGGGGAAUAUUGCACAAUGGGCGCAAGCCUGAUGCAGCGACGCCGCGUGAGGGAUGACGGCCUUCGGGUUGUAAACCUCUUUCAGUAGGGAAGAAGGCCUUCGGGUUGACGGUACCUGCAGAAGAAGCGCCGGCUAACUACGUG